ensembl:lncRNA
UUCUGCCUUAUAUUUUCAGCUCUAACCUAUGUGCCUUAUUAUGACUUACUUUGCAAACAUGUACUGCAGUAUUCUCUCAUUACAGCGAGCCUAGCAGAUGUUCUUUCAAACAGCUGACUCGCUGCUUCCAUUUGCAGGCAGGUAUUGCUUGCACGUAAUGGGGUUUUAUCUUUAGCUUUUAAUUAUGUUCUUUUCAAGACGUAUUGUACAUUAAAAAAAAUAUAUUUGACAAUCCAACUGAGCCUAUGAACCACUGUGCGGCUGACUACCACAAGAUGCAAUGAAGAAAAGCUAACACACUUACAUACUUCUACACACACAGCUUGCAACUAUUACAUCUGCCCCUCUUAUCUCUCUGCUCUCAGUGAAACAAUGCCUACCAUAACAGAAUAUUAAGCAAAGGUAAAUUAAAUCCUAUGAACUUUCUCGUGUCCUCCUCUGUUUAGACCAAGACUAUAAACAAAAGUGAGACUGACUACCACAAAAUGCCAUGAUGUAAAGAAACUGAGCAUAUAGGGAGUGGACAGUUAUGCAGGCGAUUCUCC